rnacentral:rRNA from 1 species
AUGCAGGGAGUUAGGUAUGAAGAGGAGAGCCACAACUAUGCUCCACAACAGUUUUAUUCACCUCCCACUCAUAUACCCCAGCACCAGGAGAUGUGUCCAAUGGAGUUAAAUGGUCCUCCAUUUGGGCAACCAACAACUCCAGCACCUGAUGAGUCAUUAGUGCAAUCUCAUGUGCAAGUGCCCACACAAGAUGAGUUCGAUGACAUAGACAAGCUCACACUUUUGAGUCUCGAGUUCACUUGGAGUGCCGAAGAUGAUCCAAUUAGGCCGGUGAUACUAGAGGAAAUGAAGAAGAUUAAGAGUGAAAAGGAGCUAGUGGAAGAAGUAAGGAAGAUUGAGAAGAACAUCAACGCUGGCAGUACUAUAUCAUCACAGUUUGAGUUGAGUGUGGCUGAGAUAUCCAUUGAUACAUGUGAGGUUCCAACACCUUCACAUUCAGCUGAGCAAGAUAGCGAGAGUCCAGAGGAAGAGAUACUUCAGAUCCAAGAAGAAAUUCUCGAAGCCAAGGCACAAGAUGAUCCAGAGCUCGAACAACAAAGUGAACAAGUUGAAGAUCCAAUGUCUACCAUUCCCGAAGAAGUAAAAGAAGAUGCUGUAGAUGAAGAUGAAGAACCUGAGAUUCAUUUGCCUAUUGUCAUAACAGAGCGUGAUGUGUCAGGUUUAUCUAAUCCUCUUAAUGACAUGUCUUCAUAUGAUUUAUUUGCUUCUACCUUGCAUUACAUGAUGCCAUCACUUAAGAUUGAUUUGAAAAAUCAUUUACUUGGAUAUGAUGAUACAUGCACUAUUGGUGGCAUUGCUCUCAUUUGUGAUGAUCACAAUUACUUUCCUCAUGCUAGUCUUGAGCUUAAUGAUAAAUGUCAUCCUCGUGUGAGUAUUGACCAUGCUGAUUUCUGCCAUCCUAAACAUGUGCUUUAUAGUUAUGCUUAUAUAAUUGGAUAUUCCAUUGAUGACUUGGAGGGCAUCGACCGUAUCACUUGUAGUUGUUUGUGUGAGUCCUAUUUCAGGCUUUUGCUACUGUAUUGUUUACUACAUGCUGACCAGGUUCGAGGUGACAUUCCUUGGGAUCCUGGUGGAGUCAGAGCAUGGCGAUGA